GCCAGGAUAGCUCAGCGGAAGAGCAACUGUUUUGUAAACAGCAGGUCGUGGGUUCGAAUCCCUCUCCUGGCU
rnacentral:tRNA from 5 species